ensembl:lncRNA
AUGAAACAUCAGCUGUUCAUCAAAGUGUUCGAUUCCAGUCAGUCAAUAAUCUAUAAUCAUGUGGAUUUGUCUUCAAACACAAGAGUUAUCAAAGUUUGUCCUGAAAUAAGAGGUGAUCAUUUGGUCCAAACAUUAUUAGCAGAAACAAACAGUAAAAAUGUUAAAGGAGGAAACAAAGCAAACUUACAGUUUCUUCAAACUCACACACCAACAACAAGCUCCACUCCACACCUGGACACUAAACACAGACACACAGGUGAGCUGCUUCCUGAAAGGAGGCGGGACUCCACCUGAAGACUGUGAUUGGGCCACACCUUCAUGUACUGGUUUCAAAAUAUGUCGCCUGACUGCUCAGACUGAGUCUAAGUCAGAGUAAAGUUCACAUGCUGAGGUGGAAGGACAUGAAACCUUGUAGCAGCUGCAGGUGUGAACAAUCUGAGACCACCUACAGGGCAGGUGGGGAACAGCAGGGAUCUGAAAUCAUACGAGAUGUUAGUGAGUGAGACGUUAGAACAAACAGAUGAUCUAAGUGAUCAAAGUUGAUCUAAAAAAGAAGAUGAAUCCACUGAUUCUUGUAAAGUUCAUCUGGUGCUCACAAGAAUCCUGUUUCCAGUCUAUAGAUUCAUUCAGACUCUGUUAUUGAAGAUGUUGUUGGUACAAAGUUCAUCUGCUGCUCACAUGAAUCCUGUGAUGAAAGAUUUAUUUCACUGAUUGUUUCUUCAAAGCUCAUUUCAACCUGUUGAAGUCAUGAAUGAAAGUGCAGACUGAGAGUGGAUCACAUGAUGUUUAAGGUGUGUCAUGUGACAUGUUCAGUAUUGUCACAUGUGUCUAGAUUGUCCCUGAUAUCAUAACUGCUCAAACACUGAUGAUUAUAUUUGAAGAAUUAUUCCUGAUGGCAGCAAAGUUUGAAUGGAGCUCUCUGUCUGUGCUGAUUUGUCGCCCUCUGGAGGUCAAAGCACAAACUGCAUGAUGUCACUGUAACCACCACAGUGACAGGAAGUGUUUUUAAAUGAUGAAAUAUGUCAGUGAUGCUGAUAGUGUGUUCAUCACAGACGCUCAGGCUUCAUGUUGACAUGAAUCAAAGCAGAGAAACUGGAAUGAAUCAGGUGUUGUAGAAGAUGGAGAAACAGGUUGGAGAGAGGAUGCUGCUCCUUCUUUGAGAUCAAACAUUGGUACAUUUUUUGAGGGUCAAAUAUCCUGUUUGAUUUGAGGAAUGAACUGUUAAGGUGGAAAAAAUGAAUCACGUUAAAAUACUUUAAAUCAGUGCAGAUGUAUAAUGUAAUUUAACAUGUUGAUAAUGGUUGUAGUGGGCUUGUAAUGUAAAUGUGUCUGUGUGUGGCAGCACGGUGGCACGGUGGUUAGCACUGUUGCCGCACAGCAAGAAGGUCCUGAGUUCAAUUCCACCAUCAGGCCGGGGACUUUCUGUGUGGAAUUUGCAUGUUCUCCCCGUGUUUGCGUGGGUUCCCUCCGGGUACUCCGGCUUCCUCCCACCGUCCAAAGACAUGCAGUUUGAGGGGAUAGGUUAAUUGGAUAAUCCAAAUUGUCACUAGGUGUGAAUGUGUGAGUGAAUGUGAGCGUGAAUGGUUGUCUGUCCCUGUGUGUUGGCCCUGCGACAGACUGGCGACCUGUCCAGGGUGUGCCCUGUGACAGCUGGGAUAGGCUCCAGCGCCCCCCGCGACCCUGGAAAGGAUAAGCGGAAGUGAAUGGAUGGAUGGAUGGAUAAUGGUUGUAGUGGGCUUGUAAUGUAAAUGUGAUUAAAUGUGACAUUAAUGGUGACGCUGCAUAAACCUGAUCAAACAGUUCUAUUAGUGGGUCUGUGUGAUCAGCAUCAGUGGGUUAAGGUGAGGCCUUGACUAGUAGAACGUCAUGUUGGUGUAUGACAACACAUGAGCCAACAUCAGACUCCGAGCGCUACGAUGCUGAAGAUCAGAAGAUCCAGUGUGACAUCAUCGUUACCUGGCAACAGCAGCCCUCAUCUGACUUUAUUGGAGGAUAUUUACACUAGCAACACUGUUUAGUUUGAUAUGACGGAUUAACAACAUGCUGUGAUAUCCAGUUCAUCUGUAAUAGAUACUGGGUCUAAUCAGUCAGCAGAUAUUUGAUCAGCUUAUUUAUAACUAUACUAGAAACAAACACAACUGUGUUGGUGAUUCAUGCAAACUUGCAUAUCAGCCUUUGAAGGUUUUGUAGUAUUGAGAACAAAGAGGUUGUGUUAGGGCUGAAAAGCCCGACUUGUUCUCCUCUGCAGGUCAUCAAAUGCACAGGAUGGCUAAAACACAGAAUCAUAAUCAAUUUAGGCCAAUUCUUUCAUUUGUGGGUCAACAUCACCCUCUAGUGGACACAAUUACUCAGUCAAAGGCCGCCAUGUGUAUGCAGGCUUUAUAAACAAGAACUGAUUUGUAUGCUAACUUAGAACUCCAUCAGGUAAAAUCUUUGGGAACAUUAACACACAACAUAACCACAAUAACUGAAACAACUCAGAAACGAGGAAUAUCCUGUGGAGCCCGGCUACUACUUACUUAUUCCUACAGCUUAGCUCCUAUCGCAAGGCAACAGUAAAACAUUUCUACAAUAUUACAUUAACAGUAACAGAAAUAAAAUACGUUCCCAAUGUGACUUACUGGUUCUAUGAAUGCACGCUUGCCCGCCUUAGUCCGAUUUAAGUCCAUACUUUUGCAAGCCACUGUAGUACAAUAUGUGUUAUUUUGUACUGUACUGCCCAAACUAAAGAUCUGCUGAAGUGUUGGAAAUGAUUCAGAUGUUUAUUUUGGACGAUACAGCAGAAGAUCAGACAUGAAAGUGGAGAUAACACAGAAGACCUGCAGCAAAGGGUCAGAGGUCAGACUGGGCCACGUGAUUCAACAAUGAGCCAAUGAUCAUCAAGUAGUGACUAAAGCAGAGCCCUGACGUUCUGACAUUUAUCACACAGUUAGAACAAAUGUCUGCUGAUGACUUCAUCUCAUGAAAUGACUGAUAGAUGUCAAUUCAUUGAUCAGCUGAGCUGCUGCUGCUGAUCUUCAUCGUGCACAGAAACAUUCAGCUUGUUUCAAUCAGUAAAUAACUCCCACUACUCUCAGUUUGAACUGUUCCCACUCAAAAUGCUGUCAGAACAAUGAUCAUUGUAGAACUUCACAAACAUCACGUGUUGUUUUCCACAUGUAAGAUCAGCAAACAUACAGAAACUUCCUGUUGCCACACACGGCCUCUAAAAUCUCUUCCACGCUUUCUGUCUGAAGUCCACUCUCUGUGUCGGAUCCACAGGAAACAACAAGA